CAAAGAAGAAGAAGACCGUUUUCUUCCUUCUCAACAGCUCUGCUCCUUGAAUCGCAGGAAGUCUUAACUUCUCCCACUGUUGCAUUGCUGUAAAUGGCCACUGCAGACGUCGGAUUGAACAUACAUCGGUGAACGCUGAAGAAAGAAUAGCUUCCAUGAUGGAUCGGGAAAAUGCCACUAUCUGAUGUGUGGAGACAUUUCACUGCAGCUAAUGUAGAAAGAAAAGCUGUGUACAUUUGCAAAUACUGUGCCAAAUCAUAUGUGAAGAAUGCAACAAAGAUGCAGAAUCAUCUGGCCAAGUGCAUAAAGGUUCAUCAGCGCUCACAACAAGCAACCUCUGAUAAAAGUCCCUGUACUUCUAUUCGAGGUGAAAAUGAUGAAUCAGACUCCUUAUCAAUAGCAACAGCUUAUGGUCCUCCUGGAAUCACAAGUUUUUUUGGACUCAAUGGAGGAACAUAGUCAGAGAUAUGCUGAUGAAUGUCUUGCUCGAGCUAUGUAUGCAACUUGUUCACUUCUGAUGCUCACAGGCAAUAUGUAUUGGAAGAGAUUUCUGAAUGUUCUUUGCCCAGCAUACACCCCUCCAACCAGACAUGCUUUAUGUACUCAUUUGCUUGAUGCAGAGUUUAACAGAGUUCAAGUGAAGGUCAAGCAAAUCAUAGAGAAAGCUGUAUUGCAAUCAUCUCUGAUGGGUGGUCGAAUGUUCGUGGGCAAGGAAUAAUUAACUACAUCAUCUCCACCCCUCAACCAGUAUUCUACAAGAGCACAGACGCAAGGGACAACAGACACACCGGUCUCUACAUUGCAGAUGAACUGAAGGCAUUUAUCAAUGAGCUUUAACCACAGAAGGUAUUUGUACUGGUGACAGACAAUAUUGCAAACAUGAAGACUGCUUGGUUUAAAGUGGAGGAGUCCUGCCCUCACAUCACACCCAUUGGCUGUGCUACUCAUGCAUUGAAUCUGCUCCUCAAGGACAUCAUGGCACUGAAAACAAUGGAUACACUCUACAAGAGAGCCAAGGAAAUGGUUAGGUAUGUGAAGGGUCAUCAAGUUAUAGCAAGUUCUACCACACCAAGCUUAGUGAGAAGAAUAAGAGCACCACAUUGAAGCUGCCCAGCAACACUCGUUGGGGUGAUGUUGUCAUCAUGUUUGACAGUCUCCUGGAGGGGAAGGAGUCUCUCCAAGAAAUGGCCAUAUCACAGUCUGCCGAUAUGGACAGCCCCAUCAAGAGGAUCCUCCUGGAUGAUGUAUUUUGGGAUAGAGUGGUAAGCAGCCUGCAACUCCUGAAACCUAUAGCAGUAGCCAUUGCACGGAUUGAGGGAGACAAUGCCAUCCUGUCUGAUGUUCGAACUCUGCUUGCAGAUGUAAGAGAAGAAAUCUGCGCUGCCCUGCCCACUUCACUGUUGCUCCAAGCAGAGGAAACUAGUUCUGAAAUGCAUCAAAAAGCGUGAAGACUUCUGCCUGAAGCCCAUACAUGCCGCAGUGUACAUGUUGGACCCCACGUAUGCUGGCAAGAGCAUCCUGUCUGGUGCAGAGAUCAGCAAGGCCUAUGGUGUCAUCACUACCGUCUCUCGCCACCUUGGCAUGCAUGAGGGCAAUGUUCUUGGCAGUCUGGCGAAGUACACUUCCAAGCAAGGGCAUUGGGAUAGAGAUGCAAUAUGGCAGUCGUGCCAACAUAUCUCAUCAGCCACCUGGAGGAAGGGACUUUGUGGAUCUGAGGCUUCCGUUGCCUCCAUCAUCCUCCAAAUCCCACCAACAUCAGCCGCCUCAGAGCGCAGCUGGUCCUUGUUUGGGAACACACACACACACACACACACACCAAAACACACAACAUGCUGACAAAUACAAGGAUUGAAAAAUUGGUGCCCAUCCUGGCAAAUUUUAGGCUUUUUGAGCCUGACAAUGAGCCAUCCUCAACAAGGUUGGAAAGUGACAGUGAAGAUGAGGCCUCAGAGUCUGAUGUUCAAGAGGUGGACAUUGAGGAGGUCCAGGGAGAAGACAUGGCAUCCUGAGAGGAAGACAACCAAAGCUUUAGUUUCUAGACUAUUAUUUUACAGAUGUAUGUCAACGUUUUUGGGAGAUGCGAUGGA